rnacentral:lncRNA from 1 species
AUGUACUCAGAAGACUUCUUGUGAACCUUCUCCUGAAUGAAUAAAGGGACCAAUGAGUCUUAAAGCUCUUGAAUCCUACCAUGAAAACUACAAAGAGGAUGAAAAAGAAAUCAACAAAGCAGAUGAAGAUCUGAAAUUUGAAUCCAUUACAUGGGAAUAGCUCAAAAGAAAAAGAGUCCUCCUUCACCAUCAUGAGAAGUGAUUUUAGAUCCAUGUUUUGCUUUUCUGGUGUGACCGUGUAUCCAGAACUUGCUAUGUACAACAACUCUGAAAAUCAGUCUGGCUGGCGGUUCCGCACAAAUUUGGACAUAGUACUACUGGAGGAUCCAACAAUACCUCUCCUGGGCAUAUAUCCAGAAAAUGUUCCAACUGGUAUUUGAUGGAUUUGAAAAGUAGAUUAAUGAUAGAGAUUCCUAAAUCCAGAGUUAACAUUAAUCAGCACUGGGUGACACUGUACCUCGCGGAGGCAAAUCAACUAAACAUGGGCAAAGGAGAUCCUAAGAAGCCAAGAGGCAAAAUGUCCUCAUAUGCAUUCUUUGUGCAAACCUGCCGGGAGGAACACAAAAAAAUGCACCUGGAUGCCUCUGUCAACUUCUCAGAGUUCUCCAAGAUGUGCUCAGAGAGGUGGAAGACCAUGUCUGGAAAAGAAAAGGGGAAAAUUGAAGAUAUGGCAAAGGCUGACAAGGCUUGUUAUGAAAGAGAAAUGAAAA